rnacentral:tRNA from 1 species
GGCGGUAUAGCUCAGUGGUAGAACAUGUGCUUGGCAUGCACAAGGUCCUGGGUUCAAUCUCCAGUACCUCCU